rnacentral:lncRNA from 1 species
AUAAUCAUGGCUUGCCGGAACUUUUUGAAAGCCGAGAGGGCCGCUAAAUCGGUCGGAAUUACUAAAGAAAACUACACCGUUAUGCACCUCGACCUUUCUUCCCUCGAAAGCGUUCGCCAAUUUGUUGACACAUUCAGGCGCUCCGGUCGACCCCUUGAUGCACUUGUCUGCAACGCCGCCGUGUAUUUGCCCACCGCUAAAGAACCCACUUACACCGCCGACGGAUUUGAACUUAGCGUCGGUACUAACCAUCUUGGCCAUUUUCUCCUCGCACGAUUGUUGCUUGAUGACCUCAAGAAAUCCGAUUCCCCC